rnacentral:lncRNA from 1 species
GAAGUUCUUGCCAAGAACAAAAAGGUUUGAAGUUUUGAUUGAAAAGUUUUAUGUUUUUCAUAAAGUUUUGGUUUAUUAUUUGAUGGUUGAUGGUUAUAGGUGAGAUGUGAUGAAAUGUUUUAAUGUUUGUCAUAAGUUUUAAUUUUUCUUACAAACCAUCACUUUCACCCUUUUCCUCACCCACCAAAAUCAAGUUGCAUAAAACCCUUGAAGGAAAAAAUUUGUCCUAGCUAAGAACAAGUAUGAACAUUUGAAUACACAUGCAAGCUAUUAACACU